rnacentral:rRNA from 1 species
UUCCACAUGAUCGCAUGUGAUUGUGGGAAAGAUUCUAUCGGCGUGGGAUGGGGUCGCGUCCUAUCAGCUUGUUGGUGAGGUAACGGCUCACCAAGGCUUCGACGGGUAGCCGGCCUGAGAGGGCGACCGGCCACAUUGGGACUGAGAUACGGCCCAGACUCCUACGGGAGGCAGCAGUGGGGAAUAUUGCACAAUGGGCGCAAGCCUGAUGCAGCGACGCCGCGUGAGGGAUGGAGGCCUUCGGGUUGUAAACCUCUUUUGUUUGGGAGCAAGCCUUCGGGUGAGUGUACCUUUCGAAUAAGCGCCGGCUAACUACGUGCCAGCAGCCGCGGUAAUACGUAGGGCGCAAGCGUUAUCCGGAUAUAUCGGGCGUAAAGGGCUCGUAGGCGGCUCGUCGCGUCCGGAGUGAAAGUCCAUCGCUUAACGGUGGAUCUGCGCCGGGUACGGGCGGG